UACGUAGGGGGCUAGCGUUGUCCGGAAUCAUUGGGCGUAAAGAGCGCGUAGGCGGCCAGAUAAGUCCGGUGUGAAAGUCAAAGGCUCAACCUUUGAAUGCCGCUGGAAACUGUCUGGCUAGAGUCCGGGAGGGGCGAGUGGAAUUCCAGGUGUAGAAGUGAAAUUCGUAGAUAUCUGGAGGAACACCGGAGGCGAAGGCGGCUGUCUGGCAAGACACUGACGCUGAGGCGCGAAAGCGUGGGGAUCAAACAGG
rnacentral:rRNA from 1 species